GGAUCCAGUUAUGACAUUGCCAAACGCAACUUCAUUUUUCCCUGUCUCGAGUCAGAAGCUUCCCUGCUGGUGCUUUCUCUGGAAAUUCAGCCUCCAUAUUGUGAAGAAGUAUAGACCACAUUGAAGGACCAUGGGGACACCCAAGAAUUGUUGGAGAAUGUUGGAGAUUGGCCAGGAAUCACUGUGGCAGGAUGGUGGCCAGGUGUUAAAAAUCCUAUCAUCCCAGGUGAUGGUCCUAAGAGGCAGGCCUUUCAGGAGGUGAACAGUUAAUGAGGAAAUCCUGAGUGAUUAAUGUAGACGGAUGGACUCUUCUGCUGUUUCACCAUCUGGAAGAUGCCUCCAAAAAUCUGUAACAGAAAGAAGCUUGGAAGUUCCCUUGGCGGGAAAUGAGACACAUCACUUCCAUUCAUUGUCCAUUAAGAA